rnacentral:rRNA from 1 species
GGUAAGGCCCCUUCGGGGGUACACGAGUGGCGAACGGGUGAGUAACACGUGGGUAAUCUGCCCUGCACUUCGGGAUAAGCCUGGGAAACUGGGUCUAAUACCGGAUAUGACUUCUGGCCGCAUGGUCUGGAGGUGGAAAGUUUUUCGGUGCAGGAUGAGUCCGCGGCCUAUCAGCUUGUUGGUGGGGUAAUGGCCUACCAAGGCGACGACGGGUAGCCGGCCUGAGAGGGUGAUCGGCCACACUGGGACUGAGACACGGCCCAGACUCCUACGGGAGGCAGCAGUGGGGAAUAUUGCACAAUGGGCGGAAGCCUGAUGCAGCGACGCCGCGUGGGGGAUGACGGUCUUCGGAUUGUAAACCCCUUUCAGUAGGGACGAAGCGCAAGUGACGGUACCUGCAGAAGAAGCACCGGCUAACUACGUGCCAGCAGCCGCGGUAAUACGUAGGGUGCGAGCGUUGUCCGGAAUUACUGGGCGUAAAGAGCUCGUAGGCGGUUUGUCACGUCGUCUGUGAAAUCCCUCGGCUUAACCGGGGGCGUGCAGGCGAUACGGGCAGACUUGAGUACUACAGGGGAGACUGGAAUUCCUGGUGUAGCGGUGAAAUGCGCAGAUAUCAGGAGGAACACCGGUGGCGAAGGCGGGUCUCUGGGUAGUAACUGACGCUGAGGAGCGAAAGCAUGGGUAGCGAACAGGAUUAGAUACCCUGGUAGAAUCACUAGUGAAUUC